GUUGUCCGCCAUCUUUUAGUUAGGUAGAAAGUUUCUCUUGCUGUUAACGAAGUGUGUGUUGUGAGUGUAAAAUUGUUAUUUUUUGUUCCACAUAUAACUGUACGAACUUGUGGAGCAAAGAAAGUGAUUUAACUUUCCACAGGUUUCCUCUACAAAAAGGCGAUUUGCUGAAACAGUAGGUAAUUGCCACUAAACGCAAAGGUUUCACUCCUACAAGGGCUAGUUUCUUGUGUGGAGAUAACUUUUUGGAAGAAGAUUAUUUAGUAAGGCCUGGUACUUCGAAUGGCAACUCAAACCUGAUGCAGUGCCACUUCGAAUGCCCAAGGAAAAGCAACCAAGGCGACAGAUUAGAAUAACAACUGAAGUCUACUAUACAAACUCACGAUUAUAUUAAACAGCUUUCUCUGAGUUGCAAACAUCUAAGGAAUGUGGAUCUCAAACACAAAUAGAAAUGAUUGACAAGGCCACUGCCAUAUGGAAUUUUUUAUCAGAUGUGGACGCACUGAGAAGAAAAAUCAAGAGCCUGGAGGAAAUAAUUAGGAGAAGAGAGAAGAAAAACUGUUCAAUGAAAGACAUCAUAAGUGCUCUGAAAGAGAAGGUUCAUCUAACAGUGAAGCUGCAUGAAUUCCUGAAUCAACGAACAGGGACUCAGGGGGAAUUAGUGUGCAAUUUAUUGAAUAAUUCAGUGUCAUCCAAGGGAAACAGGUACAAAACAGACAUUAAAAUGUUUGCAAUGAUGGUGUAUUUUCUCUCUCCUAAUGUGUAUGAAUGUUUAGACAUUAAUGCCUCUGCCUCACAAAUCUGAUUCCUUGUUGGGUAGGGACCGUGAAUUGUGAUCCUGGCCUUUUAAGUGAUGUGUUCGGGUACUUUGAGUUUAACCAUCAAGUGAGAACUGAAUUUAAAGGUUUUAGCCUCAUAAUAGACAGUGUGGCAAUUAGAAAACAGGUAGUAUUGGACCAGGAAACUAAGAGGUAUACAGGUUUUGCAGAUUUUGGAGGAGAAGUUGAAAAAUCAAAAGAAGUGAAAGAAACUUCAGAGGCAUUAAUUUUUAUGCUUGUGUCCAUAAAAGGUAAAUUAAAGUGUCCCAUAUUUUUAGUGAAUGGAUUUGAUAUUAGUGUGCAGGCAAAGGUAAUUAACUCUGUUCUGGAGAGGCUAUGCAGUUCAGGCAUCAGGAUUUGGGCAGUCACUUGUGAUGGCACAAGGAGAAAUAUAAGUACUGUUAAUUUAUUGGAAUGCAGUAUUUAUUUUCAUCAAAAUUUUUUUCUUCUAAGUUCCUUUACCCAGUUUCAAACCACAAUGUUCACUGCAUUUUGGAUAUGUGUCUUAAGUGGCAGUACUUAAAGGAACUAAAUGAGUUGCAAAUUGAGGAAGGCAUGACAUUUCCUAACAAGUUACCAGGACAACAUAUUAAUUACAUUAAUGAAAACAUGAAUGUCUGGUUAGCAGUUAAAACACUUUCAGUUCUAGUGUUGCAGAUGCUAUAGAUAUUUUGAGAAGAGCUGGCAAUCCCAGAUUCCAUUGUAGUGUGGCAACAGUAGAGUUUUUGAGACUAAUAGACAGAAUUUGUGACGUCUUUAACUCCAGAAAUCCUCUAGCUUCAGGAUAUAAAGCCAGUCUGAAACUUGGUAAUCAGACAUAUUGGCUUGAUAUUUUUCAUCAGACAGAAUCUUGUAUGAGAAUUUUAAAAGUAAAUGGUGUUACUCUUCUGCAGCAUCAAAGAAAUACUUUUGCCUUUGGCAUAAUUUUGAACAUGCAUUCGAUUAAAGCCAUUGCACUGGAAAUAACUACAGGGAAAAAUUCUCCCCUGCAAUAUUUGUUGACACAAGUUUUCCCAAGAUCAUAUUGAACUCUUCUUCUCAUGUGUGAGGAUCCAGAGGGGGUUGGAUGAAUAACCCAAAUUCAUAUCAGUUGAAGUGUGCUAUGCAUAAGUUGCUUUUAGGCAGUAAUGUUAGCACUGUUGGGGGAAACUGUACAAAUUUUAACAUGUGUUUAAUGGUACCUGUGGGACUGUGUGAUUUCUGAUCACAAAAGCGUCCUCUUAUAGAUGAUGAUGAUUCUUUUAUGUUUGUAGAUGAAGUAGAAAAAUGGUGCUCAUCUAUUGAAGGGGGUACUCUGUUUUCUACAUACAAGUAGAACAUUUUGUACUACACUGCAGGAUAUGUUGCCCUCACAAUUUCAAAACAAGUUACAUGUAAGAAGUGCCUCUACAUUCUUAGGCCACCUGUCGUUUGUAAUGCUGUAAUGUAAGCACUUCUCAGUACUGCAGAAAAGAGCUCAUUCACGAAAUUUGUAAGCCAAGGUAAGCUUAUUGAAACAAGUAGUGCUUGUAUACUCUGUGGUGGAGCGCUCAGAAAAAUUGUUUCAAAUGUUUGUUGUCAAUGGUGACAUGAGGCAAAAGCACUUAAUUACUAAGAUUGUCAUGUGUGUCCUUAAGAUUUAUGAACUAUUCAUUCCCUCAACUUGACCAUGACUUCCAUAAUGGAUGCGGAGUUGAAGAUUUGCAUGAGACACGGCUUGCGCGUAAGAUAGCAUCUAGGUACAUUUACGAGUGGCUGAAAGCAAAUGGGAAAAGGUUUUCAGCUGAGAAGAUAGGUCACAAUACAUCUAGUGUAAGACAAAAACUCAGCAAGAUUAUUUUAUUCAGUAAUGUUUAAUGUUGUGCCUGUAACAUUGCAGUAGUGGUUAAAAAUGUAUGGAAAUGAAAAAACUAAAUUUCAUAUUUUGUGUUUCAGUGUGUUUUUGUGUUCUUGUUUCAAUAUACUUGCUCAUGCUUAAUGUUUACAGUAUUAAUCAUUUUACAAACGAUAAAAAAGUACAUAGACAUAUGAAAGUGUUAAUUGAGACAUUACAAUCAGGGUAGCUUUUAACUAAUCAUGCUAUCUUUGUACCAACUGCUAUUUUUGUUUCGAAUGGCUGGUGUCACACCUGUUUGUAUUAUUUUGUAUAAAAGUCACGUUUUUAUUACCUCUGUGAUUCAUUCAAAUGUUUUUCCACCUCCCUAAAAGCUCUUAGGCUUGUGAUUUUUCUUUAAUUGCUUUGACUGUGAAGUAAGAUUCUGACAGUGAUUUAAGUUGAACACUGCCAGACUGAUACAA